UUGAAGACAAAAAAAGUAAGUCUGGUCCCAUUUCUCUAUCUUGAUGGGAAUUAAUUGUGCAUGUCUGAUUUUUAUGACUUCACAUGUUUGUACUUUGUAUGGACUUUCACAAGUGGAGAGCAUCUUACCUAAAGGCAAUUAAUGCAGAUCACUGUGUCCUUUGUCCAUUUGUCUCCAGGUUCUGAAUAUCUAAGUCACUGUGCUGCCAUCUUGGGACACCAUGCAUGAUAAUAGAAAUUCUAUGAAUACACAUUUAGAAGGGUCUAAUAGCAUUUCCUGAGUUUUUCCCCAGGGCCCACCUCUUUUAUAUCAUAUCUGAUUGGUUGAAGAAUCAGGACAGAUCCCAGAAGAGAGAUUUCUGGGAGACCUAUAAUCCAAGAUGUGACUAAACCCUAAACGAACAACAGACUUUGCUUCUCAGCCACUUGAAGUUAGGCUCUCAGCACAGGAAUUAAGUGCUUUCCCAUGGAGCAAGGAUGUUCAGUUUGGCUGACCUCGAGGACAAGCAGAGCCACAAAUGGUCAACUACUCCUUGAGACCACCGUAUUCUUUGGAGCACUGAAAUCAAGAAACCCAGUAUGGCUGCCAGCAACCAAAUUGGAAUCUCCUUUGAGACUACUUCUAAUUGCCAAAAUAAUAAGCGACUAUAUAAUUGCAUAAAAUAAAACUUUAAUAGGUACCGGCCCCCUU